GGCUGUCGUCAGCUCGUGCCGUGAGGUGUCGGGUUAAGUCCCAUAACGAGCGCAACCCCUAUCGUUAGUUGCUAGCAGGUAAUGCUGAGGACUCUAGCGCGACUGCCACCGUAAGGUGAGAGGAAGGUGGGGAUGACGUCAAAUCAGCACGGCCCUUACGUCCAGGGCUACACACGUGUUACAAUGGCCAGUACAAAGGGCAGCUACCAGGUGACAGGAUGCUAAUCUCAAAAGCUGGUCUCAGUUCGGAUCGGAGUCUGCAACUCGACUCCGUGAAGUUGGAUUCGCUAGUAAUCGUCUAUCAGCAAUGAUACGGUGAAUACGUUCCCGGGCCUUGUACACACCGCGCGUCACA
rnacentral:rRNA from 1 species